rnacentral:tRNA from 1 species
GUGUCGGUGGUGUAAGGCGUAGCAUCGCUGCCCGGAGGUGUGGGUUCGAGUCCCGCCUGGCACA